GACAGAGGAGCCAAGCGUUGUCCGGACUGACUGGGCGUAAAGCGCCCGCAGGCGGCCGUGCACGUGGGGUGUGAAAGCUCGCGGCUUAACUGCGAGAGGCCAUCCCAUACGGCGCGGCUCGAGCCGUCCAGAGGCCGGUGGAAUUGCCGGUGUAGUGGUGAAAUGCGUAGAGAUGUGGAGGAACACCGAUGGCGAAGGCAGCCUCCUGGGCCAGCACUGACGCUCAUGCACGAAAGCGUGGGGAGCAAACAGG
rnacentral:rRNA from 1 species